rnacentral:rRNA from 1 species
AACGAACGCUGGCGGCAGGCCUAACACAUGCAAGUCGAACGCCGUAGCAAUACGGAGUGGCAGACGGGUGAGUAACACGUGGGAACGUACCCUUCGGUUCGGAAUAACUCAGGGAAACUUGAGCUAAAACCGGAUACGUCCGAGAGGAGAAAGAUUUAUCGCCGAGGGAUCGGCCCGCGUCUGAUUAGCUUGUUGGUGAGGUAACGGCUCACCAAGGCGACGAUCAGUAGCUGGUCUGAGAGGAUGAUCAGCCACAUUGGGACUGAGACACGGCCCAAACUCCUACGGGAGGCAGCAGUGGGGAAUAUUGGACAAUGGGCGCAAGCCUGAUCCAGCCAUGCCGCGUGAGUGAUGAAGGCCCUAGGGUUGUAAAGCUCUUUUACCCGGGAAGAUAAUGACUGUACCGGGAGAAU